rnacentral:rRNA from 1 species
CCUACGGGUGGCAGCAGUAGGGAAUAUUGCUCAAUGGGGGAAACCCUGAAGCAGCAAAGCCGCGUGGAGGAUGAAGGUUUUCGGAUUGUAAACUCCUUUUGUUAGAGAAGAUAAUGACGGUAUCUAAAGAAUAAGCACCGGAUAACUCCGUGCCAGCAGCCGCGGUAAUACGGAGGGUGCAAGCGUUAUUCGGAACCACUGGGCGUAAAGAGCGCGUAGGCGGGAUAGCAAGACAGCUGUGAAAUCCUAUGGCUUAACCAUAGAACUGCAUUGGAAACUGUGAGUCUAGAGUAUGAGAGAGUUAGGUGGAAUUCGUGGUGUAGUGGUAAAAUCCGUAGAGAUCAAGAAGAAUACUCAUUGCGAAGGCGACCUGCUAGAACAUAACUGACGCUGAGGCGCGAAAGCGUGGGGAGCAAACAGGAUUAGAUACCCGGGUAGUC